ensembl:lncRNA
GGUAACUACACUCUGUCCAAAUGCUUUUCAGAAUUUCAAUCUGCUGCACCUUUGGCAAAAUGUAGUCAGAAGCUCCAGGCCAUGGAAUUGGGGCAAUAUUAAUAGAAACGGCGUGCAUAAACAUGGCUUGUUUUUUCAAAUUAAAAAGUAAGGAACAUACAUACAAAAUAAAUGUGAAGAAAUAAUCACAUGAAAUUCAGUAGGAGUGAUGCAAAAAAAUCUAUCUCCAUAGAUAGUCAGAAAUAUGUUGCUAUAUUAUUUAGGGAAAGAAUAAAAAAGAGGAAAGACCUAUUUUAACAUACAGUAAUUUUAACAUACAGUAACAUACAGAAAUAAAACAAAUGCUGUCAUGGUUUCAUGGUUUUAGAAAUAAUUCUCAGACUUUGAAUGUGCAGUUUUUCCUCAUCCAGCAGGAGUAUCUUUCCAAGCAAAGUUGUGGUGGAGUUUCCCUUUUCAGAAGCUGGCAAUGCUUAGCUGGAUACCAUUGCUAUCAUGCUAUCAUAUGUAAUAUUUCUUUCUUGACUUUAUAAGCCUAUCCCAUAUCUUAAUGUGGAUAUUCAAGCAGCAACUCAUUUUACAGACCUUUCUGGGAAUGAAAGAACCAACCAAGACCCGUCAAAAACAAGGAUCCCUCCAGUAGUAUGUAACAUAAGUUCAUAUCUCCUUCUUCUCUAAGAAGAGCACACAAAGUCAGGAGCAUAUGGAAAACAAAACAAAACACAACUGUAUUAAAGCAGGCUUAGUGAGGCUUAGUGAGUCAUUACAAGCUCCUGAGCCAAAAGGUGCUUAGUAGAUAUUUGAAUCUUUCUCUCUAAAAACUGGACAUCCCUUUUUCCUAACCUUUUUUUGUGCCUACUAUUGCAGUUCUGAGGCUAUCUUAAUGCCUUAAAGUAGGCUUUUAUUAGGAGAUGAUUAUACAGGAUCCUGUCUGUAAGGCUGUUCUGGAUUUGCUGUAUGCUUGCUCCUGUAGUUAGUUUUGGCAAGGAUACAGGUGACGUUUCUAGUACUUAGAGUAUUGGCUUCAGUCUUUGGAAGAAGCACAAGAUUUACUUAGUGAUAAAAACUUACCUUCCUAUGGAGCACCAGUCUUCAUAUCACACUUCCUAUCUCUAGGCAAAUGAAUGUUGAAUUUGGCUUCUGCUUUGCAUUUGAAAACUUUCUGGUUUUAUUCCUUUUAUUCCUGUGUUUCACUUGUGAGGUUCAAUCACUGACGUAAAAACACUGCUUUUGGGGACAUACAUCAGUAUGAAUGGAGCUUCUCUGGACUCAUGACUGAAUUUGGAUUUAAUUUUCCUGCACCUGCCAAUAUGCUGAUCAUCACAAAAAUGCAUCUGCUUGGAGGGCACCGCUGGGUGCCAAAUGGGAAAGCAGUCAGAGAUGCUGGCUAAUUUCACACUCCUCUCUAGAAGCUUCCUAACCACAGGUAUAGGCCUCAGUGUCCACAGUGGAACCUUCCAGGGAAUAUGCACUUUUCUCUAAGCGCUGACCUCCUCUAAGGCCUACAUUUCUCAGGAAAAGUCCUGACAGUCACACCAGGUAGAAAAACUCACCACUGCCAAUGAUUCGUCAUAUUGUCCAGAAAGGCUGCGGAGUCUCCUCCUUGGAGACCCUCAAAGCCAUGCGGCCCCUUUCAGCCCCAGCCAGCCUGUGACUCUGCGAAAAGGGCUGGGUCAGUCUUAGUCAAUACAAAGAACAAAUAACAGUAUUAACUGAUAACCCUAACGACAUUCUUAUCUCUGGCUAAGGACGUUUUGCAACAGACUCUGUUGUGGGUAUAUUCACCAGUAAGUGCCUAUCAAUUCAUGGGACAGCCCAGGCAUUUUCUACUUUCACUGCUAUUAAUAUUUAGUACAACUCACACACUGCUGAAAAUAGUACUGAAGGAGGUACAUAAAUAAUUUCCAAUCAAUUUUUAAUUUACAAUGUCAAGUUUUAUCAAGCCAAGUCCUGGCCAAAGUAACCUUGCCUGAGUUAAUUGAACAUAACAUCAAUGAACAGAACGGCAAUUUUAGAAAUGCAGAAUAGAGUAUUUCUGCUGUGGAGCUGUGUGAUUUCUGACAUUGUAAUUAAAAAGCAAUUACCUUUGCUCUGAUGUAAUUUGUCAUGCUGUACAUCUACAGAUCAAAAUCAUCUCCCAAUAAUUGAUCUCUGUUUCACUUACUUUCUGGUAAAACUUUGAGACUGUGAACACAAGUAACCCAAACAAAAAAGACAUCUGAUAUUAAGUAGUUUUGUUCAUCUUCUUCGAUCACGUUUGGCUUCAAUGUUCAGUUAUAUGCCACAGUCCAUGUGUUUGUUCCUUCCUUCUGGUUUACUUAUGGGGAUCUCUACUUCCUGGGGGAUUGAGCAAAAUCUUGGCAUAAGCAAGAAAAAAGAAUAGAAUUAUGGCCAGAUGGAAUAUGUAUGGCAUUGGAGCAGGGUUGGGGGGUUAAAGAGGAGCC